AGCAUGCACCGCCGCCGCCUCCACCUGCCGUUCACGGCCACCCUCCACCACCUGUCCCCCCAAGCAGCCACCCUCCUCCACCAGAAGUUGUGCACCACCACCACGAGCAAGAGGAAACUGGCUGCUCUGCUUUCCUCAAAGGCUGUUUGAAUGCUCUGUGUUGCCGCUGAGAAAUGGGGAUUGAUUGAUCAAAUAUAAGUCAUAGUUUGGUGUUGGAGGCAGGAACAUAAGGAGCCCAUAUGCGUGUGUUUGUACUAGGGACUGAAACUUAUGGAUGUUGCAAUCUAUUUAUUAGUAUGGUUGUUUCGAUUUCUCUGGUUUUUUGUAUGACCAAUUUUAUCUCCGUAACUUAAAAUUGUCUUCUAUUAUUUUUAUAUGUGGAAGUGGCCAUCUCUCUGUGCUUGUGCUUGGCUACCUUGGAUUGCGUCA